AUAUCAGAACAGAGAAGAAAUGUGGUCAAAGUGGCUUUGACCAUGGAAUGAUUGCUGGUGCCAGAAGGGGUGGUCUGAGUAUCUCAGAGAAUGCUGGUCUCCUGGUGUCUACAGGCCUGUUGUUUAAUGGUAUUGGUGCAUGGCAUGAAAAUGGUUGGGAACCCCUGCUCUAGAGUUUACAGAGAACAGCAUGACAAACAAAAUUAAUCCAGUGAGCGGCAGCUGUGUGGGCAAAAAUGCCCCGUUAAUGACAGAGGUCCGAGGAGAAUGGACCGUAACUCAAAUAACUACCUGUUAUAACAGUGUGCAGAAGAGCAUACCUGAACGCAUGACUCAUCGAACCUUAGAGUGGAUGGCCUACAGUGAACACUCAACAGCCACUUCAUUAGGUAUGGGAGGCAGCACAUCAAAUUUCUCCACGUUUGCCAGUGAUUUUAAAACUUAUUCUGAUUCUGAUUGAACAUGUUCAUAAUGUUUUCAGAAUAGAUUCAAUAUUUAAAAUAAUCAGAAUCAUAAAGUAUAUUUUUUCAACUUAACUUGAUUUGAAUAGACUUUCUCCUGCUGCCUGAUUGUCGUGCAGUGGUGGUUGUCCAUCGUGUCUGACGAUGACAGGAAACCUGUGCGGGAGAGUUUUUAAAGUGGAAAAGCCAUUGCACUGGGGCAGUUCCACUCUCUUAGCCUCAGAAAUUCGGAUCCAGUGGUACAAAUAAGCAUCACGAACUGGGGUCUUCCUUGGUUGCUGUGGAUGGCCAUGACAUGCUCUGCGCUCUCCACGGAGUGUUACAGAACCACCUUCCUAGCUGUUGGAUCUCACUGUAAAUUUCAUCCACCAAGUCUUCCGGAGCUGACUUUGCAUGCUAUGACAGGCAUGUCCUUAUCUGGCCAGAGUGUGAGGCUGCUGCCUACCCUCGCCCGUCGGGGUGGAGCCGCUGUCACACUCAAUCAGCUACUUGGAGCCACAGAUUAUUCUGAGAACAGUUCCAUAGUACUGCCAAAGAGGUCCAUGGCAUAAAAAAGUUGAGAAGCCCUGGUAUAGAGCAUGCAAACUCCAAACAGAUCGAAUAUGGAUCGCUCGAAGACACACUCUCAAUGUUUCAGGAACAGCUUCUUCCCCUCUGCCAUCAGAUUUCUGAAUGAACAAUGGACUCAUGAACAUUACCUCAGUAUUCCGAUAUUUUGCAGUACUUAUUUAAUUAUAUUUAUAUAUACUUCCUAUUGUUAUUUAUAGUGUUUAUUAUAUGUAUUCAAUGUCUGUGAGCUCUCCGGUGGUUGGGUUCAACCGUGGAUAUUACGAACCAGCUGUCUGCAUGAUACACAAGCCUGGGCAGUACAAUAUGGAGAGCAAGCUGUUGCCCAUGUAGUAAGCUCCCCCUGUCCAUGCAUCUGAUGAACCCAAAGGAAUGGCAAAGUCUGAUACAGUUUGACACUCGCGGUGUUGCAGAAGUUGCCAGUCAGUGUUGAACUCAACCUAGGACUGCCUUAGGGACUCCAGCUCCAGAUUUUUCCUCGGAGUUUACUCCCAAGUUCUUCCCAUCACAGGCAUACUGCGUGCCGGUGAUAUGAAACCUGAUUCUGAAUCCUGCUCACAAUGAAUUUCAUCUGUCACAGAUUUAUCUAUUCGUUGACACAUUGUCCAUUCGCAUCACUACUACAAAGAAUCAAGUCUGAGGAUUGGGAAGAUUUCAAACAGUGACCCAAAAAAUGAAUGUUUUCUUCAUCAUUUGAUACAGAUAAUUAUCAUGCAAGUGUACUCCACCAAAAUAAAAUCAAUUGGGUUGGACAGGUAUUAGGUACUUUUCACAAAUCCUGGAAAGGGUGCCACAGUAGCGUAGCAGUUAGUGUAACACUAUUACAGCACAGGGUCCGAUUCAGACCUUAUCUGAGGGAGUCUGUCUGUCCUCCCAUGAAUGUGUGGGUUUACUCCAGGUGCCCUGGUUUCCUCCCACACUCCAAAGAUGUACUGGUUAGUAGGUGAAUUGGUCAUUGUAAAUUGUCCUGUGAUUAGGCUGGGAUUAAAUAGACAAGUUACUUGACAGCUUGGCUUGUUGGGCCAAAAAGACUCGUUCCAUGCCGUUUCUUAGGUCAGGGUUAAAUCAGGGUUGUCAGAGAUUGCGCUUUAGGGUCCAACUUGAAGGGCUGGAAGGACUGUAUCUCGAAACAAAAUAAAAUUUUAAGAAAUUGAAUCUGUCUGUCUAGAAGCUGAGCGGAGGUUAUAAAAUAUAUAACGUAGAAGAGUACAGCACAGGAACAGGCCAGUCAGCCCACAUUGUUGUGCUGAAACAUCUAAAAUUAAAAUCAAAAACAUCCAAACACUAAUCCCUCCUACCUACACAAUGUCCAUAUCCCUCCAUCUUCCUUAUAUCCAAGUGCCUGUCUAUACAUCACUUAAAAGCUUCUAAUGUCUUUGUCUCCACCACCAUACCAAGGAGUGCAUUCCAGGUCUCCUCUACUCACAUCUGGUUUGAACCUACCCCUUCUCACUUUCAAUGCAUGCCCUCUUGUAUUAGAGAUUUCUACCCUUGGAGAAAGAUACUCCCGAUCUACUCUAUCUAUUCAUCUCAUGAUCAUAUAAACUACAUCAGAUCCACCCUCAGCCUCCAACACUCCAGAGAAAACAACCCAAGUUUGUCCAACCUCUUGUUGUAACUCACGUCCACUAAACCAGAGAGCAUCCUGCUAAACAUCUUCUGCAUGCUCUCCAAAAGCUUCAACAUCCUUCCUAUUGUGGGUGACUAGAACUGUAUGCAAUGGUCCAGAUGUGGUCCAACCAGAGUUCUAUAAUAAAUUUGCAACAUAACCACUUGACUUUUGAACUCACAUAACCUCUUGAGUUUUGAACUAAUGUCAAAAACACUGAAGUUUAAUUUUAGAACUGCUUGUUAAUCCUCUUGUUAGACACACUUUGCGUAUAUGGGCUCAGUUUAGGCAACUUUAUGGUUUCCAUGGUUUUUCUUUUUUCUAGCCCUAUCUUACAUAAUCACCUUUUUUUACCUACUACAUAUGAUUCAGCAUUCCAUGAUUGGUAUAGGAAGGGCAUUAGACAUUUUGAAGAUCUUUUUAUUGAUAAUCACAUCGCAUCUUUUCAACAGCUCUCUGCUAAGUUCAAUCUGCCCAAUGCUCAUUUUUUUAGAUAUCUCCAAAUUAGACACUUUAUUAAUCCUUUAAUUCCUAACUUCCCUGAAAUGCCUGAGAAAAAUGUUAUGGAUUUAUUUCUUUCUAUUAAUCCACUAGGUAAAGGUUUAAUAUCAUUUAUUCGUGAUAAAUUAGCAUCCUUACGGCGUGCCCCUGUGGAUAAAAUUAGAAUGGCUUAGGAGCAUGAUUUAAAUAUCUCCUUAACUGAUGAGACUUGGGACUCGAUUGUCAAAUCGGUUAAUUCAAUCUCUCUUUGUGCUCACCAUUGCCUUUUACAGUUUAAGAUUGUUCAUAGAGCCCAUAUGUCUAAAUCUAAGCUAUCUUGAUUUUACCCUAACAUUAGUCCUCUCUGUGAUAAAUGCAAAAGGGGCGAGGCCUCUCUUAUUCAUAAGUACUGGUUUUGUCCUAGCUUGGGGAAAUUUUGGAACGAUCUCAUCAUAACGUUAUCUUAUAUUCUGAAUCACCACCUAGAACCUAACCCUUUAAUUGCAUUGUUUGGUUUUUUGGGUGAGACAGAUUUACGUCUGAGUUUGACUAAGUGUCGAAUAUUAUCUUUUGCUUCUCUCCUAGCUAGACAUUUAAUCCUCCUUAGAUGGAGAGAUGUUGCCCCGCCCACGAAUGCUCAAUGGCUUAAUGAUAUUAUGUCCUGCUUAGACCUUGAAAAAAUUCAUUACUCAGUUCUUAAUUCGGAUACGAAGUUCCAUAAGGUCUGGGGACCUUUUAUUGAGUACUUUCAUAACCUUCCUCUUAACUAAGGUUUUUUUUUUCGGUCCCUUGCUUUCAGCUCCUUUUUUUUUGGUAGUAGGCAUUAAUAUCUUCUGUUGCUAAGUGUAUUUACAGUUUUGGGGGGUUGAAUGUCCUGACGUAUACUCUCUAUAUUGUGUUGUGGUUGGUCUGGAGUUCUUUUUUGUUGCGGGGCUUGGGGAGGAUACCAAUUUUACAUAUCUUCAAUUUGGGUGCUUUCUCAAUUAUCUUCUUUUGUAUUAUAUUAUUAUUGUAUGUUUAUUUUUGCACUGUAUUAAUGUUCUUCAUUUCGAUCUGGGGGUUUUUUAUCUGUAGCAAUGUAGAAAAUGUAUAAAAAAAAAUAAUUAAAAAAAAAUUUUAGAACUGCUGUUGCUAGGUGAUUUUACUUUGGGUCAUGACUGGCAGAAACUUUCAGAAAGUAAACUGCUUUUUUAUUCAAAGUCAAAGGAAUUUGGAAAUCUUUUAUAAAUCAGAAAUACUCUGCAAGCUUUAAAUGUGUGUUAAGAACUAUUUGUCUAAAUUUAAACAUGUAUCAUUAAAAAUAAAAUAAACUGCCCUUCAUU